rnacentral:lncRNA from 1 species
UUGACUUCAGUUCUUUUUGGGUGACUGCUGACAGAGCCAAACAAUCUGCAGGAGGGAAGUGGAGCUGAGCUGAAUGGACUUCUACAAUGCAGGUUUCACCGUCGAGCUCUGCUGAGGUGUUACAGUAGUUGUCGCACGGAGCAGAACAGACUGAGGAGACUGGGAUGAGGUAACCAAGUAUCUUUGAUGAGGGGCCAGGAGCUCAUCUAUGCUGCUGAGGGGCCAGGAGCUCAUCUACUCCGCUAUUCUCCGGCAAAGACAUCACCUACAGCCCCACCUCUUGCCUGCUCACCAAUGGUCAUCGAUGGAACAGAAUUAGGUAGGUUUAGUCGGACUUAUUCAAACUUCAACAUAGUGUAUAUAUCACCUGUCAGACAUCACCUAUCCCUAAUUGGCAUUGGUAGAACAGUGUCUGUGUAUAUGUUUUUACCGAUGCAUGAUAUGCAGAGAUCUGGCACUCAACACAUCAACUCAACACAUCCACAAUGAGGUCAUUAUUAAUAAACAGUACAGCACAAAUGUUCAGUAAUAACAACACCCUUUUCAUUCCAUGUGUCACUGAGGAACUCUGCUUCAACUCUGCCUAUUUCUACAGAUGGACUGGAGAUGCUUUUUGCCAGAUGGCAGACUCAGUCUGAUGGGGAGACCGUCAUUGGGUAGGUUUUAUUUGACCUGUUCAAACUUCAACAUAGUACCUGUUUGUGUUUCAGAUGGUAUCUAUCCUAACUGCCAUUGGUAAUAGAACAGUGACUAUGUGUGUAUGUGUUCACAGAAACAUAUAUAUGCAGCCAGCACAUGGAGACUUGCAAGAUGAUGGGAUGACUCCAGUCCAGACUGACAGACGGGCUUGAAACUGAUGUCUCUGAAUGGAGAGAGACCUGGCACUCGGCAUUACAAUUUUACAAGACAGAACUUUUACUUGUAUUGUCUUUUUUUAAUGAUUGAAUUGUAUUGUAUCUGGGGAGGGAGAAACCUUGUGUAUUCUGCACCGGGAAAAGGGAACUCCUGGACACCACACCGUAAUGAACACGAGAGAAACAGAGAGCUGGUUUCAAGCGCAGAGCGCAGCAGGUGUUUAAUAAAUAAAUGUUUUGACUGUUUUGACCAAGUUAAUCUGCUCAUGUUGUGUGUGUUCAAUUACUUGUGAUAUUGUGGCAUUUAAAGCAUAUUGAUGAGUUCUGAGGGCCGAUCUGUGAUAUCCAACUAUUUGGUUUAAUAGCCCGGCUACUUUAGGUGUGAAACUCCACCCAACUUGCAAUGUAUUCGAUGCUUAAGCUCUCUAAAGUUUAAUACAUAUAUAUAGAUACACACACAUAUAUAUACAGUUGAAGUCGGAAGUUUGCAUACACCUUAGCCAAAUACAUUUAAACUCAGUUAUUAACAAUACCUGACAUUUAUUCCUAGUAAAAGUUCCCUGUCUUGGGUCAGUUAGGAUCACCACUUUAUUGUAAGAAUGUGAAAUGUCAGAAUAAUAGUAGAGAGAAUGAUUUAUUUCAGCUUUUAUUUCUUUC